rnacentral:lncRNA from 1 species
UAAUUUAAAGACGAAACUUGUCUCUCUUGCUUUGUGUUUUCUGUCGUUUCGCAGCACCAACCUUCAUAGCCUGCUCAGACACCAACUCCGAAAGCUCAUCUUGCCAAUUAGAACUUUGAUUUAACGCAACAUCUCCUUUGUUGGUUGAUGAGAGCAUGGAAUGUGCAUUCCUUUUUUGUGGAAGAGUAUCUUCAGCGGUAGGAAUGUCGUAUUGAUGCUGAGGACCCAUGAAACCUGAGAUAUUAGUAGAUUUUUCAGGUAAAACUUGAUAUAAGUCUCGAUUAGCAGCAUCACUACUUGGUUGAGUAUUUUUUCGUAAUUCAACAUUGUCAACCUCUACAUUAGAUUGAUUAAAAUACGUUAAGGGCUCUGCAUGCAAAUCUUCCCUCUGUGACCUAGGCUCUGACGCUGACUGAUAUUCCUCAAUCGUUUCACGUUCAGUAAUUUCUUCAGUAGGAUAUUCUACGUCUUCGCUCUCUUCCUCUUCACUAGAUUCUUCUUCCUCAAACUCCUCCAAUUCACCCCAAUGCUGAGUGCUCACAGGCGAACCUGUACCAGCAUGUAUUCGAGGUUUGACAUUACCAAACACGUCGCCAUAAAGAGGACGAUUAAAUUGGUCCACAGGAGGUUUUCCCCAACCACCAGGAUGAAAUCCCCACUGCGCUCCAGUCGGAAUUGGACAAUUCACACCGGGAAUUUUAAGAUCUGGAUAACUUGGAGGAGGCCCGUAUCUCUGCAUAGCAAAUAACCAAGGAGGAGGUGCUCCUGGAGCAAUUCCCAAGGCUUCACGGAGCUCCUCCGAAAUGUCGCCGGGCCUCUUUUCUUUCACAUCAGCUUCUAAUUCUUUUCCUUCAAAAUAGCAUUCGCCAAAACCGGUUAGCACCGGUUUUGUUUGGUAGCGAAAGAAGGCAUCAUGAAGCUUUUGAUAAUCAAUGUCAAGCUUUCCCAUUUUUGGUUGGACACGCUCACGCAUUUUUUGACGCAAAGGCAUAUCAGCUUCAUUUUCAUGCACAGCAUUACGCAUUUGAACUAUGCCAGUAGCACGAAUAUACGAGGGUAACUCGAAGAGUUGACGUUCUAUACCUCUUUGGCCACUCAAGUAAUCUCUUUUUUGGUUCCAAUGACGGGGAACAGGAACAGUAUUAGGAUAUGCUUUUAGAUGUGUGAGGAAUAAAGGAUCAAGCGACGAAACAUCCCACCAUUCGACGACAUCUGCUUUCUCGGAGAGCAUCUUCAGUUGAGCAACAGUCAUCCUUUUUAACUUUCUCAAUUUCUUUUUACUAAGUUUUUCCUCCUGUUGUUUUUGUAAAGCGUCUUCUUCGCCUUCACUCAAAAUUUCAUCGUCAGAAUACAUUAUUUGGCCCUUGUCGGUAUCUUCGAAAUCUUUUUCUUGACCAUCAGCUUUGAAACGAUUAAAGACAUCUUUAAAUUGCUCUAUUAGCGGAUCAUUAGGAUCUAAUUCUACAGAAUCGACGAUUGUAGUAUAGACCAUCCCGUCAACACUAUCAGUUUUGUUUGUAUCAUAGAAGUUUCCAUUAGAUUUUUUAUCAUUGUAUAGGUUGUCAUUAUUUUCAGUCAACUGGUCCUUGUCAUCACUAUUUUUUUCUGCCAAUUUAGCACCAGAAUUUGUCUUUUCACGUAGUAAUUUUUUUUUCUCUCGACGAACUUGGUUUCUGCUCUUUUUAUUUUUUUGCUUAUUAUUCCUCUCUAAAAUUUUCUCCAGUUCCUUUAAAGGAUUUUGAGCUGUCUGUAUUUCAGCCAUUAACAAAAAAUCUAAGCAACAAUGCUUUGGACGUGUCAACAAGUACAUGCAUGGAGCGUAUUAACAAAACACUACCACCCAAAAAACGAGUAUCCUCCUUACUGAAGAUUUUUUGUAAAAAAAAAUACUAGCAAUAGUCAUGAUGAACGGGUCCUUAUUCUUACUGUAAUUAAUAGAAAAUA